rnacentral:rRNA from 1 species
AUUGAACGCUGGCGGCAGGCAUAACACAUGCAAGUCGAGCGGAGCGGCGGACGGGUGAGUAAUGCCUAGGAAUCUGCCUGGUAGUGGGGGAUAACGUCCGGAAACGGGCGCUAAUACCGCAUAAUAUCAGAUGAGCCUAGGUCGGAUUAGCUAGUUGGGGGGGUAAAGGCCUACCAAGGCGACGAUCCGUAACUGGUCUGAGCGGAUGAUCAGUCACCCUGGAACUGAGACACGGUCCAGACUCCUACGGGAGGCAGCAGUGGGGAAUAUUGGACGAAGGGCGAAAGCCUGCUCCCGCCAUGCCGCGUGUGUGAGUAAGGUCUUCGGAUUGUAAAGCACUUUAAGUUGGAAGGCGUUACCAACAGAAUAAACACCGGCUAACUCCGUGCCAGCAGCCGCGGUAAUAC